rnacentral:rRNA from 1 species
GAUGAACGCUGGCGGCGUGCCUAAUACAUGCAAGUCGAGCGAACGGACGAGAAGCUUGCUUCUCUGAUGUUAGCGGCGGACGGGUGAGUAACACGUGGAUAACCUACCUAUAAGACUGGGAUAACUUCGGGAGACCGGAGCUAAUACCGGAUAAUAUUUUGAACCGCAUGGUUCAAAAGUGAAAGACGGUCUUGCUGUCACUUAUAGAUGGAUCCGCGCUGCAUUAGCUAGUUGUUAAGGUAACGGCUUACCAAGGCAACGAUGCAUAGCCGACCUGAGAGGGUGAUCGGCCACACUGGAACUGAGACACGGUCCAGACUCCUACGGGAGGCAGCAGUAGGGAAUCUUCCGCAAUGGGCGAAAGCCUGACGGAGCAACGCCGAGUGAGUGAUGAAGGUCUUCGGAUCGUAAAACUCUGUUAUUAGGGAAGAACAUAUGUGUAAGUAACUGUGCACAUCUUGACGGUACCUAAUCAGAAAGCCACGGCUAACUACGUG